CCUACGGGUGGCAGCAGUGAGGAAUAUUGGUCAAUGGGCGCGAGCCUGAACCAGCCAAGUCGCGUGAGGGAAGACGGCCCUACGGGUUGUAAACCUCUUUUGCCGGGGAGCAACGGGCGCCACGUGUGGCGCCACUGAGAGUACCCGGAGAAAAAGCAUCGGCUAACUCCGUGCCAGCAGCCGCGGUAAUACGGGGGAUGCGAGCGGUAUCCGGAUUUAUUGGGUUUAAAGGGUACGUAGGCGGAGCGUUAAGUCAGUGGUCAAAUUGAGGGGCUCAACCCCUUCCCGCCAUUGAAACUGGCGUUCUUGAUUGGAAGAGAAUUAUGCGGAAGGCGUGGUGUAGCGGUGAAAUGCAUAGAUAUCACGCAGAACCCCGAUUGCGAAGGCAGCAUGCCGGCUUCCUACUGACGCUGAAGCACGAAAGCGUGGGGAUCGAACAGGAUUAGAUACCCUUGUAGUC
rnacentral:rRNA from 1 species